UACAGAGGUCUCGAGCGUUAGGCGGAAUCACUGGGCUUAAAGCGUGUGUAGGUGGAUCGUUAAGUACCUUGUGAAAUCCCACGGCUCAACCGUGGAACUGCUCGGUAUAGUGGGUGCCUUGAGCCACUUAGGGGCUACCGGAACAAAUGGUGGAGCGGUGAAAUGCGUAGAUAUCAGGAGGAACACCAAUGGCGAAGGCAGCUCGCUGGGACGGUACUGACACUGAGACGCGAAAGCGUGGGGAGCAAACAGG
rnacentral:rRNA from 1 species